rnacentral:rRNA from 1 species
CUCCUACGGGAGGCAGCAGUGGGGAAUAUUGGACAAUGGGCGAAAGCCUGAUCCAGCAAUGCCGCGUGAGUGAUGAAGGCCUUAGGGUUGUAAAGCUCUUUUACCCGGGAUGAUAAUGAC